rnacentral:rRNA from 1 species
CCCGCUGAACUUAAGCAUAUCAAUAAGCGGAGGAAAAGAAACUAACAAGGAUUCCCCUAGUAACGGCGAGUGAAGCGGGAAGAGCUCAAAUUUGUAAUCUGGCACUUUCAGUGUCCGAGUUGUAAUCUCGAGAAGUGUUUUCCGCGCCAGACCGCAUACAAGUCUGUUGGAAUACAGCGUCAUAGUGGUGAGAACCCCGUAACUGAUGCGGAUGCCUGGUGCUCUGUGAUACACUUUCGAAGAGUCGAGUUGUUUGGGAAUGCAGCUCAAAUUGGGUGGUAAAUUCCAUCUAAAGCUAAAUAUUGGCGAGAGACCGAUAGCGAACAAGUACCGUGAGGGAAAGAUGAAAAGCACUUUGGAAAGAGAGUUAACAGUACGUGAAAUUGUUGGAAGGGAAACGCUUGAAGUCAGACUUGCUAUUUGGAAUUCAGCCGCAAGGUGUAUUUUUCAAUUCGCAGGCCAGCAUCAGUUUUUGGGGGUGGAAAAGGGUAGAGAGAAGGUAGCAACUCCGGUUGUGUUAUAGCUCUUUGCUGGAUUCAUCCUUGGGGACUGAGGAACGCAGCACGCUUUUUGCAAGGCUUUCGAGCUUUUCGUGCUUAGGAUGCUGGUGGAAUGGCUUUAAACGACCCGUCUUGAAACACGG